GACGAACGCUGGCGGCGUGCCUAAUACAUGCAAGUAGAACGCACAGUUUAUACCGUAGCUUGCUACACCAUAAACUGUGAGUUGCGAACGGGUGAGUAACGCGUAGGUAACCUGCCUGGUAGCGGGGGAUAACUAUUGGAAACGAUAGCUAAUACCGCAUAAUAUUAAUUAUUGCAUGAUAAUUGAUUGAAAGCUGCAAUUGCAUCACUACCAGCUGGACCUGCGUUGUAUUAGCUAGUAGGUGAGGUAACGGCUCACCUAGGCGACGAUACAUAGCCGACCUGAGAGGGUGAUCGGCCACACUGGGACUGAGACACGGCCCAGACUCCUACGGGGGGCAGCAGUAGGGAAUCUUCGGCAAUGGACGAAAGUCUGACCGAGCAACGCCGCGUGAGUGAAGAAGGGUUUCGGAUCGUAAAGCUCUGUUGUAAGAGAAGAACGGGUGUGAGAGUGGAAAGUUCACACUGUGACGGUAUCUUACCAGAAAGGGACGGCUAACUACGUG
rnacentral:rRNA from 1 species